rnacentral:tRNA from 1 species
UCUAACUUUAGUUUAAAUAAGAAUGAGGGUUUUGGGGAUCUUUGGUCUCAUUUGAGAAGUUUGAU